UAACACUUGAGUAGAGAAAUGUCUCCACUUUUCUCACCAUUUAAAAAUCUCUUUAAAUAUCUGAUAGACGUUGGUGAAACACUGAAGUAGGCAACUCUAGGGGUCUCGUGACCCUGAAUAUGUGCCGCGGAGAAGAAACUGCUCACAUUCAAGACUGUGGAAAUACAAGAAGCAAAAAUGUGCAACAGAAUGUUCAACAUUGCCCAGGGCUUGCUUCCCCAACAGCACCCCAUUGUCCUGGAAAGUCAGGCUCCUGUAUUUGAUACCAGUGGAAGCUGAGCUGGAGAACAGCUAGGCAGAAGGAGAGCACAGCACUCCCAUCAUGCAUUCUGACUCCCAUUGUCCCUAAGACUCACUUUAAAGAUGAAGAACUGACCAGAUCAGCCAGAUCGAAAGCAGAUGGAAGAGCUAGAUGUGGCCAGCACACGGGAAGGGUAAAACAGAAGCACAGGGACAAAUUCAAGGACAACCUGGUCUAUCUACAUAAUGAGUUCCAGGACUGUACAGGGAGAUCCUGCCUCAAAAACAAAACAACAACCACCAAAAAGAAAGCAAACAUCAUCAUCAUCAACAACAACAAAGCCCAUGCUUAGACUGUCUCCAUGCACCCGCUUUGGAUUCUCAGACUCGCAUUCCUUUGCUCCUUGGGCCUGGAAUUAAUCUGAGAAUCCAAGAAAGCAUCUGGUUCUACAAAGAUCAACAGCCGCCCAUCACCACUCCUAAUCUGGUUUGUCAGUUCCAGGUGGCAUGGGCUUCAACCAGGACCAUCUGUCCCUUCCAGCAGCUCCAGAGCCACUCUGCAUCAGAGACUGGACAGACAGAUGUUUUCACCUUGACCCUGCUGCUUCUUUCUGGCAUGUCUUCAUUAUCCCCUUCACUUCCAUUCCCACUCUUCCUCUCCCCAUGUAAGGGCAAGCAGAAUGAAAAGCAAGAAGACGACCCUCGGGCAAGCCCUCAACACAUGAUUUAUUGCCUUGAACAUAAUUUUCUAAGUCCCAUGACCCAAAGUUAGGAAAACUGGCAGUCUCUCUCACAGGAUAAUGAAAUAUUAAGACAAAAUGCAAUUCCAAAAACAGGCAGGGGGAUGAAAAGAACUUUCCAUUUUCAAUUCUAAAUGUCAAACAGCCGUUCUAGUUUUUAUUGUAUGACAAAUAACCAUUAUUUGUUGAAAUUCUGCUGCAAAUAACAGUAUGGUAAGGCUUUUACGGGGAGAUCAUCGAGGAAUGUAUUUAACUCACUCAGAAUUCACACCAGGAUGACUAUUUUAAGCACAAUGAAAUACCAUUUUAAUAAUUUCACAUAAUAUUGUCAUGAUGGAUAGCUACUUUAAAUUUACAUGCCAGCUAUGUAAAUGGCCAUAAG
rnacentral:lncRNA from 1 species